CGCAAUUGCGGCAUGCCUUAACAUGCAGUCGAACGGCAGCACGGGUGCUUGCACCUGGUGGCGAGUGGCGAACGGGUGAGUAAUACAUCGGAACAUGUCCUGUAGUGGGGGAUAGCCCGGCGAAAGCCGGAUUAAUACCGCAUACGAUCUACGGAUGAAAGCGGGGGACCUUCGGGCCUCGCGCUAUAGGGUUGGCCGAUGGCUGAUUAGCUAGUUGGUGGGGUAAAGGCCUACCAAGGCGACGAUCAGUAGCUGGUCUGAGAGGACGACCAGCCACACUGGGACUGAGACACGGCCCAGACUCCUACGGGAGGCAGCAGUGGGGAAUUUUGGACAAUGGGCGAAAGCCUGAUCCAGCAAUGCCGCGUGUGUGAAGAAGGCCUUCGGGUUGUAAAGCACUUUUGUCCGGAAAGAAAUCCUUGGCUCUAAUACAGUCGGGGGAUGACGGUACCGGAAGAAUAAGCACCGGCUAACUACGUGCCAGCAGCCGCGGUAAUACGUAGGGUGCGAGCGUUAAUCGGAAUUACUGGGCGUAAAGCGUGCGCAGGCGGUUUGCUAAGACCGAUGUGAAAUCCCCGGGCUCAACCUGGGAACUGCAUUGGUGACUGGCAGGCUAGAGUAUGGCAG
rnacentral:rRNA from 1 species